rnacentral:sRNA from 1 species
CAGUGUUCAUCAUGUUCUGUGGCACAUGAAGGUAUUUCCUGGCUGUUCUUUAGGACCAGAAAGCAAAGGAGUUUCUUGAAUGCUGCCUGCCAUGCAUUAAGGAAGUGGCAGGACAAUGUGUAUGGAUUGGGCCCAAGGACUUAUAUAUGCUAAGUGACUGCUCUACCACUGAACUGCUCCCGCAGUAAGAAAUAUAAGAAGUUGGAGAUCUGCCAGUUAGCUAACAAAGUGAUUAACUACAGGAUGGUUCGUGUCCACCUGAGCAGAUUACAAGCUACUUAACAGUAAGGAAUGAUAUUUUAUGAUCCACAGGGACAAACAUAACACAACACAUAACCACAGGCUAUGGCUUCUAGGUGGUGGAAUUUACCUUAAAACAAUAAACCAUGCCUACUUUAAAUAAAAUGAUCACUGUACUAAGGUGAUUUCUACCCAACAUUGAUUCAAAGGAAAUGUAAUUGCUACAGUAGGAGCAGAAAAAGGAAGCAGUCCCUGCACAGCAUCUCAGGAAGACCCUUCAGAUGCCAUGACCAGGACAAAGCAGAAGCUGUGUUUAAAACUAGACUUUCCCACCAGUAAAAUCCUGCAGGUUGAACUUUGUACAGACUGGUGAUAUUUUUAUUUGCGGGACAGUUUUGUAUCAGCUUGGCAUGAGCUGAGGGAAUCCCAGAGGAGGGAACAUCAAUUAAGAAAAGUCUUCAAUAAGGUAAGA